rnacentral:snRNA from 14 species
AUGCUUGCUUUGGCAGCACAUAUACUAAAAUUGGAAUACAGAGAAGAUUAGCAUGGCCCCUGAGCAAGGAUGACCCGCAAAUUCGUGAAGCAUUCCAUAUUCUU